CGUAUUGAUAGGAAGGAUAAGCCACCUACACGUCUAGAUUGAAAUCCCAAACAAAAGAUGGAUGACGCAGCCGCAACAAGCGACGAAGACUAGAUGUGGCGUCCACCAAUAAGCAGCAAGCCGAUGGCGGUUGUCGUGACGCAGACGAGCUUGCUGCGUCGACGAGCUGUUCGACGACGACGAGACGAGAUCCUUCGCUGCGUCCUUGGCUGGCCUAACUAGCCGUAGGUGCACCACGGGCCGCCGAUGGGGUGCCUAAUAUGCAGGUUCUCCCAUAGGCAUUGAUCUUGAUAAGCUCUCUGAUCCUGUACGGGAGUUGGGCUAUCACGGCUGGCCGCGCGUCUUCUUCGACCAAGAUGUGGAUCAGGUUUUGAACGGUUGCGCCUACAAAACUCAAGGGAUUCUGUUGGCAGCUCUAAUCAUGCGACACUGUGAUCUAGAACUGGAAGGAUCAAUUCAUGCAUGAAGAUAGAUGCGUAUAAAAAAACAAGAUGGUGUAAUGACGCAUGUACUGUAUAUAAUUUCGUUAUUUGGGUCUUGUUAUUUUUUCAAGUGGAAACAUACCAACAUUCGAAAGAAAAAAUACCUCCAUUUUAUUCUUAUAUUCUAAAUGAUAUACUCUUUUUUAGUUCA